rnacentral:rRNA from 1 species
GGUUCAGGAUGAACGCUAGCGGCAGGCUUAACACAUGCAAGUCGAGGGGCAUCGGGAGUAGCAAUACUGCCGGCGACCGGCGCAAGGGUGCGUAACGCGUGAGCAACAUGCCCGUAUCAGGGGGAUAAUCCAUGGAAACGUGGUCUAAUACCCCAUAGUAAUUAUGUAAGGCAUCUUAUAUAAUUUAAAGCUUUGGUGGAUACGGAUUGGCUCGCGUGACAUUAGCUAGAUGGUAAGGUAACGGCUUACCAUGGCUACGAUGUCUAGGGGUUCUGAGAGGAAGGCCCCCCACACUGGAACUGAGACACGGUCCAGACUCCUACGGGAGGCAGCAGUGAGGAAUAUUGGACAAUGGAUGGAAAUCUGAUCCAGCCAUGCCGCGUGCAGGAAGAACCGGCCCUAUGGGUUGUAAACUGCUUUUGUAUGGGAGCAAUAAGGGCUACGCGUAGUCCGAUGAGAGUACCAUACGAAUAAGCACCGGCUAACUCCGUGCCAGCAGCUGC